rnacentral:rRNA from 1 species
CCUACGGGAGGCAGCAGUGGGGAAUAAUGGACAAUGGGGGCAACCCUGAUCCAGCCAUGCCGCGUGUGUGAAGAAGGCCCUCGGGUUGUAAAGCACUUUCAGUGAGGAAGAACGCCUGGUGGUUAAUACCCAUCAGGAAAGACAUCACUCACAGAAGAAGCACCGGCUAACUCCGUGCCAGCAGCCGCGGUAAUACGGAGGGUGCGAGCGUUAAUCGGAAUUACUGGGCGUAAAGCGCGCGUAGGUGGCUUGAUAAGCCGGUUGUGAAAGCCCCGGGCUCAACCUGGGAACGGCAUCCGGAACUGUCAAGCUAGAGUGCAGGAGAGGAAGGUAGAAUUCCCGGUGUAGCGGUGAAAUGCGUAGAGAUCGGGAGGAAUACCAGUGGCGAAGGCGGCCUUCUGGACUGACACUGACACUGAGGUGCGAAAGCGUGGGUAGCAAACAGGAUUAGAUACCCUAGUAGUC